UACGUAGGGUGCAAGCGUUGUCCGGAAUUAUUGGGCGUAAAGAGCUUGUAGGCGGUUUGUCGCGUCUGCUGUGAAAUUUCGGGGCUCAACCCCGAACUUGCAGUGGGUACGGGCAGACUAGAGUGUGGUAGGGGAGACUGGAAUUCCUGGUGUAGCGGUGAAAUGCGCAGAUAUCAGGAGGAACACCGAUGGCGAAGGCAGGUCUCUGGGCCACUACUGA
rnacentral:rRNA from 1 species